rnacentral:SRP_RNA from 1 species
GCCGGGCAUGGUGGCCUAUGCCUAUACUCCCAGCUACUCAGGAGGCUGAGGCUGGAGGAUUGCUUGAGUCCAGGAGUUCUGGGCUGUAGUGUGCUAUGCCAAUCAGGUGUCCGCACAAGUUCAGCAUCAGUAUGGUGACCUCCUGGGAGCGGGGAACCACCCGGUUGCCUAAGGAGUGGUGAACCAGCCCAGGUCGGAAAUGGAGCAGGUCAAAACUCCUGCGCUGAUCAAUAGUGGGAUCCCGCCUGUGAAUAGCCACUGCACUCCAGCCUGGGCAACAUAGCCAGACCCCGUCUCU